UACGGAGGGAGCUAGCGUUGUUCGGAAUUACUGGGCGUAAAGCGUACGUAGGUGGCACUUCAAGUCUGCUGUCAAAGACCGGGGCUUAACCCUGGAGAGGCAGUGGAAACUGAAGCGCUAGAGUGUCGUAGGGGUAGAGGGAAUUCCUGGUGUAGCGGUGAAAUGCGUAGAGAUCAGGAAGAACAUCGGUGGCGAAAGCGCUCUACUGGACGACAACUGACACUCAGGGACGAAAGCUAGGGGAGCGAAUGGG
rnacentral:rRNA from 1 species